rnacentral:rRNA from 1 species
GAUGAACGCUGGCGGCGUGCCUAAUACAUGCAAGUCGAGCGAACGGACGAGAAGCUUGCUUCUCUUAUGUUAGCGGCGGACGGGUGAGUAACACGUGGAUAACCUACCUAUAAGACUGGGAUAACUUCGGGAAACCGGAGCUAAUACCGGAUGAUACUUUGAACCGCAUGGUUCAACAGUGAAAGACGGUCUUGCUGUCACUUAUAGAUGGAUCCGCGCUGCAUUAGCUAGUUGGUAAGGUAACGGCUUACCAAGGCAACGAUGCAUAGCCGACCUGAGAGGGUGAUCGGCCACACUGGAACUGAGACACGGUCCAGACUCCUACGGGAGGCAGCAGUAGGGAAUCUUCCGCAAUGGGCGAAAGCCUGACGGAGCAACGCCGCGUGAGUGAUGAAGGUCUGCGGAUCGUAAAACACUGUUAUUAGGGAAGAACAUAUGUGUAAGGAACUGUGCACAUCUUGACGGUACCUAAUCAGAAAGCCACGGCUAACUACGUG